rnacentral:rRNA from 1 species
UACGUAGGGUGCAAGCGUUAAUCGGAAUUACUGGGCGUAAAGCGUGCGCAGGCGGUUGUGCAAGACCGAUGUGAAAUCCCCGGGCUCAACCUGGGAACUGCAUUUGUGACUGUAGAGCUGGAGUACGGUAGAGGGGGAUGGAAUUCCGCGUGUAGCAGUGAAGUGCGUAGAUAUGCGGAGGAACACCGAUGGCGAAGGCAAUCCCCUGGACCUGUACUGACGCUCAUGCACGAAAGCGUGGGGAGCAAACAGG